rnacentral:rRNA from 1 species
AUUGAACGCUGGCGGCAGGCUUAACACAUGCAAGUCGAGCGAGCGGCGGACGGGAGCGUAAUGUCUGGGAAACUGCAUGAUGGAGGGGGAUAACUACUGGAAAAGGUAGCUAAUACCGCAUACCAUCAGAUGUGCCCAGAUGGGCUUAGCUAGUAGGUGGUGUAAUGGCUAACCUAGGCGACGAUCCCUAACUGGUCUGAGAGGAUGACCAGCGACCCUGGAACUGAGACACGGUCCAGAAUCCUACGGGAGGCAGCAGUGGGGAAUAUUGCACAAUGGGCGCAAGCCUGAUGCAGCCAUGCCGCGUGUGUGAAGAAGGCCUUCGGGUUGUAAAGCACUUUCAGCGAGGAGGCGUUACUCGCAGAAGAAGCACCGGCUAACUCCGUGCCAGCAGCCGCGGUAAUUC